AUUGAACGCUGGCGGCAGGCCUAACACAUGCGAGUCGAGCGGAUGAAGGGAGCUUGCUCCUGGAUUCAGCGGCGGACGGGUGAGUAAUGCCUAGGAAUCUGCCUGGUAGUGGGGGAUAACGUCCGGAAACGGGCGCUAAUACCGCAUACGUCCUUAGGGAGAAAGUGGGGGAUCUUCGGACCUCACGCUAUCAGAUGAGCCUAGGUCGGAUUAGCUAGUUGGUGGGGUAAAGGCCUACCAAGGCGACGAUCCGUAACUGGUCUGAGAGGAUGAUCAGUCACACUGGAACUGAGACACGGUCCAGACUCCUACGGGAGGCAGCAGUGGGGAAUAUUGGACAAUGGGCGAAAGCCUGAUCCAGCCAUGCCGCGUGUGUGAAGAAGGUCUUCGGAUUGUAAAGCACUUUAAGUUGGGAGGAAGGGCAGUAAGUUAAUACCUUGCUGUUUUGACGUUACCAACAGAAUAAGCACCGGCUAACUUCGUG
rnacentral:rRNA from 1 species